GACGAGAAGCUUGCUUCUCUGAUGUUAGCGGCGGACGGGUGAGUAACACGUGGAUAACCUACCUAUAAGACUGGGAUAACUUCGGGAAACCGGAGCUAAUACCGGAUAAUAUUUUGAACCGCAUGGUUCAAAAGUGAAAGACGGUCUUGCUGUCACUUAUAGAUGGAUCCGCGCUGCAUUAGCUAGUUGGUAAGGUAACGGCUUACCAAGGUAACGAUGCAUAGCCGACCUGAGAGGGUGACCGGCCACACUGGAACUGAGACACGGUCCAGACUCCUACGGGAGGCAGCAGUAGGGAAUCUUCCGCAAUGGGCGAAAGCCUGACGGAGCAACGCCGCGUGAGUGAUGAAGGUCUUCGGAUCGUAAAACUCUGUUAUUAGGGAAGAACAUAUGUGUAAGUAACUGUGCACAUCUUGACGGUACCUAAUCAGAAAGCCACGGCUAACUACGUGCCAGCAGCCGCGGUAAUACGUAGGUGGCAAGCGUUAUCCGGAAUUAUUGGGCGUAAAGCGCGCGUAGGCGGUUUUUUAAGUCUGAUGUGAAAGCCCACGGCUCAACCGUGGAGGGUCAUUGGAAACUGGAAAACUUGAGUGCAGAAGAGGAAAGUGGAAUUCCAUGUGUAGCGGUGAAAUGCGCAGAGAUAUGGAGGAACACCAGUGGCGAAGGCGACUUUCUGGUCUGUAACUGACGCUGAUGUGCGAAAGCGUGGGGAUCAAACAGGAUUAGAUACCCUGGUAGUCCACGCCGUAAACGAUGAGUGCUAAGUGUUAGGGGGUUUCCGC
rnacentral:rRNA from 1 species